GUACUGUGCAAACGUUAUUCGGAAUCACUGGGCUUAAAGGGUGCGUAGGCGGCCGUUUAAGUAGGGUGUGAAAUCCCUCGGCUCAACCGAGGAAUGGCGCUCUAAACUGGACGGCUUGAGUGAGAUAGGGGUGUGCGGAACUUCCGGUGGAGCGGUGAAAUGUGUUGAUAUCGGAAGGAACGCCGGUGGCGAAAGCGGCACACUGGGUCUCAACUGACGCUGAGGCACGAAAGCUAGGGUAGCGAACGGGAUUAGAUACCCCGGUAGUCCUAGCUGUAAACGAUGAGCACUAGUCGGGAGGGUUUCGACCCUUUCCCGGACGUAGCAAAAGUGUUAAGUGCUCCGCCUGGGGAGUAUGGUCGCAAGGCUG
rnacentral:rRNA from 1 species